rnacentral:rRNA from 1 species
GGAGGGUGCGAGCGUUGUCCGGAAUCACUGGGCUUAAAGGGCGCGUAGGCGGGCGGGAAAGUCAGGGGUGAAAGCCGGCAGCUCAACUGUGGAAGUGCCUGUGAUACUCUCCGCCUCGAGGGAGGUAGGGGCGUGCGGAACUUCCGGUGGAGCGGUGAAAUGCGUAGAUAUCGGAAGGAACACCGGUGGCGAAAGCGGCCCGCUGGACCUCUUCUGACGCUGAGCCGCGAAAGCCAGGGGAGCGAACGGGAUUAGAUACCCCGGUAGUCCUGGCCCUAAACGAUGGCCACUAGGUAGUGGGCUUACGUGGGCUCACUGCCGAAGCAAAAGUGUUAAGUGCCCCGCCUGGGGAGUAUGGUCGCAAGGCUG